GCGCCCCUCCCCCAGCCUCGCUGCCGACUUGCUGUUUGAUCUCAGACUGCUGUGCUAGCAAUCAGCGAGACUCCGUGGGCGUAGGACCCUCUGAGCCAGGUCUCUUAACAAAGAAGGAUCCCAGCCUUUGCCUCUGAGUGAAACCAGGAUCUAACUGAGUCCAAGAGAUAUAGACCAAGGUUUCCUAUUCUCUUUCCUGGAUGGACAAAAUAGGUUUUUAACUGGGCACCCAAAUCUGUACUGCUACUCUUUCCAUUAUUCCUGCAGUGUGGUGAGUGCUGACGUCAGCUGGGGUCUGCUCUGUCAUACAGUUACUGUGUGAUUUUGGACAAAAUCAUUAAUGUUUCUCAACUCUUCACUCUUGCCAUGGGUAAACAAUAUAAAUA